GGUCAGUGAUGAAUAGUAAAAGGUCUGAUUACCCCGAGACCACCCUGCUCACCCUCCCUGUUCCCAGCUGCCUCUUUGCUGUCAGGCUCUAGUGGUGCCACGACUGAGCAGAGGCCUGCUGACAUCACCGGAUACCCCAUGUGCAUGUGCGUGUUUGCUAGAAUUUCAGCAAAUGCACUAGUGUGGUGGGCAUCCAACAGUGGGCAUCAGCAAGGAAUAAGGGCUGGUGAGAGCACAUCUCCUGUGGGUCUGAUCUGAAACUUGCAAACUGAGGCC
rnacentral:snoRNA from 1 species